rnacentral:rRNA from 1 species
GGAAUUUUGUUUUAGUUUGGGUUAAAGGUUAUGUAUUUGUGUAUGCAUAUUAGUUAGAUGAUGGGUUAGUGGUAUGUUAAAUUAAAAAUAAUGGAAGAUUGAUUUAGGUAGUAUAAAGAGUUAAUUAAAGAUGUGCCAGCAAUUGCGGUUAGACAUAGGAUUCAAAUUUUAAGUAGAAAUGAUUGGAUGUAAAAUUUUAGGUGAAAUUUUAGGUUUAUGGAUUGUUUAAGAUAUAGAUUAAAAAUAGGAUUAGAUACCCUAGUAUUUAUAUUAAGAAAAGAAGAAUGGGAUUUAAAAAAUAUGGCGGUGUAGAGUAAUUUUAGGGGAAUCUGCUUAAUAAAUGAUAAUCCGCGAGGAACUUGCCUUGUUUUAAGUUUGUAUAUCGUUGUUUAGAUGAUUUAGGAAUAAGUAAUUUUCUUAAUUAUGAUUGGUAGAUAUUUCUAAUCAAGGUGCAGUUUGAUAAGGUAUUAUAGUGGAUUACAAUGAAUUUAUUUAUAUGGAUGAAAUGAUGUAAUUUGUUUUUGAAGGUGGAUUUGAAAGUAAUGAUUUAUAAGAAUGGAGUUGUGAAUUUUUGCGAUACAAGUACAUAUUGCCCGUCGCUCUGGUGUAGAUAUCAGAUAAGUCGUAACAUAGUAGAUGUAUUGGAAGAUGUAUCUAGG